CAAAGCCCCCCCUGCCAAAGGGUUACCCCCAGGGGCCGCCGGAAAAAGGCGGCUUUUCCUUGGUCUAAAACGCCUAGGGAAUAAAAGGGGGGCAAGACUGGUGUCAGCCGCCGCGGUAACACCAGCCCCUCGAGUGGUGGGGAUGAUUAUUUGGCCUAAAGCGUCCGUAGCCGGCCGGGUAAGUCUCCCGUUAAAUCCAGCGUCUCAAGCGUUGGACUGCGGGAGAUACUGUCUGGCUAGAGAGUGGGAGAGGUGUACGGUAUUCUGGGGGUAGGGGCGAAAUCCUUUGAUCCCCGGAGGACCACCAGUGGCGAAGGCUGUACACUAGAACACGUCUGACGGUCAGGGACGAAAGCUGGGGUAGCGAACCGGAUUAGAUACCCGGGUAGUCCCAGCUGUAAACGAUGCACGCUAGGUGUUGGGGCGGCCACGAGCCGCUCCAGUGCCGCAGGGAAGCCGUUAAGCGUGCCGCCUGGGGAGUACGGCCGCAAGGCUGAAACUUAAAGGAAUUGGCGGGGGA
rnacentral:rRNA from 1 species